CUCAUCACGUGCCCAUAAGAAGGCCGACGCGCGCGCGAUUCUGAUGAGCAUCCCCGCUGAUGAACAUCCACCCGCCCCGCUCUCUCCCCUGAAUGAACGUCUGAAAAGAUAUGAUUGCCAGAGAACUAGCGUCCACACGAGAUGGACCUUAAAAGAAAGAGUUCCAGGUCCGGAGCCAACGAGGUCUGGGUCCGGAAUUUGUGACCCCUGCCCUAAUAGCUCCCUAUGAGGCUGAUCUUCGAGGGAUCGACUACAUCCAUAAGAUGUAACACAAGUUUAAAGGUGCAAGA